GUCUUCCUCCUCGACCGCGGCCCCUUGGCCGAGCGAUUCGGGGUGGACGACGACGGGACGCUGCCCCCUCUGCGGCUGGGAGGAGAGCGGGGUCACCGUCGCCCUCAUCUUCGAGCACGCGUCGCGCUGCCGGGAGAGGCGAUUCGAGAUGCUGCAGCGCCAGGCGGAGGAGCGGAUUGCCGGUGAGCAAGCAAAGAAAGGUCGCCGCCAUGCGCAUAUCAAGCUUCGGAAGAACUAGUGUGCUGGCGCGUCAACGAGGAGGAUCGACCCAACACCGGAGUGGAAGAGUUCCAGAGGACCGACUGCAUGAGUAGUUUAGGUUUUAUAUUAGCCCUGUCCCGUAGGACUUUGCUGAACUCACGUAGAGUUUUAGCAAAAUUGGCUUAGGAAGCCAUAUACUAGAACAAAAAAUGCAGAUUUUACUGCACAUAUGCCACUAUACUGUAAUCAUUGAUGCCCAUAAAAGAUGGCAUUUUCUGUUAGAUGUUCCUUUA